rnacentral:rRNA from 1 species
UACGUAGGGUGCAAGCGUUAAUCGGAAUUACUGGGCGUAAAGCGUGCGCAGGCGGUUGUGCAAGACAGAUGUGAAAUCCCCGGGCUUAACCUGGGAACUGCAUUUGUGACUGUACGGCUGGAGUGCGGCAGAGGGGGAUGGAAUUCCGCGUGUAGCAGUGAAAUGCGCAGAUAUGCGGAGGAACACCGAUGGCGAAGGCAAUCCCCUGGGCCUGCACUGACGCUCAUGCACGAAAGCGUGGGGAGCAAACAGG